rnacentral:rRNA from 1 species
UACGUAGGGUGCGAGCGUUGUCCGGAAUUAUUGGGCGUAAAGAGCUCGUAGGCGGUCUGUCGCGUCGAAAUGUGAAAACCCGGGGCUCAACUCCGGGCUUGCAUUCGAUACGGGCAGGCUAGAGUUCGGUAGGGGAGUCUGGAAUUCCUGGUGUAGCGGUGAAAUGCGCAGAUAUCAGGAGGAACACCGGUGGCGAAGGCGGGACUCUGGGCCGAUACUGACGCUGAGGAGCGAAAGCGUGGGGAGCGAACAGG